CUCACUCUUGAUUCCACAUUCACAACCACUACCUCCUCCCCUACCUGCUCCUGCAUAUCCCCUGGGAUACACGGAUGCACUCCAUAGAGCAGGUAGAACAGCAAGCACUUUGAGACUGCAUGCUGACAAACUCACAUUGUGAAUAAUGCCUGUCUCAGAUAUUCAUCCCAUAACCUCAUGGGCUUCUCCACUAGGUAUUUCAUCAGCAUGCUGCCUAGUAUUCCAUUUAAGUGUUCAACUUUUCCAUUUGUACAAGGGUGAUAGAGUGUUGUUGUGUGAUGCUUUGUCUGCAACUGUUUGACAAAGUGCCUCACAGCUCCUUCUACAAGGUUUGCAUCAUUAUCUGUCAAUAUCUCACAGGGC
rnacentral:sRNA from 1 species